AAACCCCCAAAAUCAAACUACGCGGCAAACUGGAACAAAAAAUAUGGAGGGGAGUUCCGGCGCCGCUUCCGACGCCGCAAUCGAAACCCUAAGAACCAGAGGAUGGUGCUUCGGCGACUUCGAACAAGUGGAGGAGAAGAUCCUGAUCCACCCCGCCUUGUCCUACGACACGCGUACGGUGGUGAACUCAGUGGAAGCCGAGCUCACCAACAUGAACCUUAAAUCCAUCUCCGCCCAUGCCCGACCCGCAUACGCUCCUAAGGUCCUCUCACCUCCUCGGCCCCAAAGUCCUCCAGGUAAAUCACAAAAUAGAUAAAGAGAAAGAAAAAUGUGGCUUUCCUUUGUGUUUUGUUAUCAAAUGGCUUGGGUAAGGGACGUUGCUAAAAGCAGUAUGGAGGAUUUUUCGAGGAAUUUGAGUCGUCGGCGGCUUUUGAUGCCUGACGAUCCCUGACGACGGCCACAGCUGUGGAGUACUCUCAUACCCCGGCAAUCCCUGACCACGUCGUUCCUGAAACUAAGGUACUUUCUGCUUCUUGAUGCCUGCUCAAUACUCAUCUGGUGUUUUAUAUUGAAUAAGCUAGAGAUUUAUUUGAUUGUCACUUUUUGGAUUUUGUAUAUGUUCAGUUUAGUAUUCAAACUGGUACGAAAUUGAGCUAGAUUAUGGAAAACAACGGAAACUCACACUUUCGUAGAACUUAGUGAUGAACACUGUGUGCUCCGUCUUCGUUUAUGCAAUCUUGAAGUGAAUCCACAUCCAGUAGGAAAAUUAAUAAUUUCGUUUAUUUUGUAUCCCAUAUGGGACAUUAGCUCAACACUGCACUGGAAGACCCCGACAAAGUUUUUAAUUUUGACAAUUAUUAUGAGUACUUUUUUCAUGAAACUCAAAAUGAAUUUCACAAGAAGUUUUAUGGGUCUCUCUAGUCCCACUUUCUUAAGUGAUUCAGGGAAAACAGGUGCAUAGAUAAAGGUCGCAUUUUGAGUUAACUGAACAUCUUUUGUUUGUCCUACUUUUUGAUCGGGAGGUCUGUUUGGAAGGUAAAGUUACUGUACGUAACGGAAUAGUUUGUUUGAGUCCUAAAGUUGUGACUGUGUUGGGAGGUGUUGUUCAAUCACUUUACGAAGAAUGGCAGAUGAAUACAAAAUAUUCCGAGUUUUCACGUUCAUCUUUAAGGAUUUCACAGGAAAGUGAUGGUAACGGCCCCUCUCCAUUUGAGAAGUUGCAAGUUGGGGCAGCUAAAAGUCGGUUUCCUGAGCAGGACAAGUUUUCACAUUACUCUGAUGUUAGCUCCAAGAGUAGUGAGCCUAUUGCCAGAAUUACUGAGGGUAGACCAGUUGGAAGACAGUGGAAUCUUCAAUUGAAAGCAAAUGAUGAGGAUAAAUUUUAUAAAAAAAGUGAGACAGGUAACACUCGUAAGGCAGAUUCCUUUGAUGAAAGAACUCAAGAUAAAAGAAGGUGGAUUUUCAUUCGUGUCCAAAUUGUAGCUUUUUAUUAAAUUUUACUAUUAUCCUAUGCUGCAUCCGGGUUUUGUGUAGUUUUAAGCUUAAUUUAAAAAAAAAGUGAGACAGAUAACACUCGUAAGGCAGAUUCUCUUGAUGAAGAACCCAAGACAAAAGAAGGUGGAUUUUCAUUUGUGUCCAACUUGUAGCUUGUUAUUAAAUUUUACUAUUAUCCUAUGCGGCAUCCGGGUUUUGUGUAGUAUUAAGCUUAAUUUUAUGUCAUCUAGUUGUGGGGAAGGGGUCGAGAAGAGACUGGUGUUUUUACACUUCGAUUUGUUCACUAAUUAUUUCCAGUGGUGCGUAUAUAGUUGUAGAUGGGGCAGGUGUAAGGUGGCAGAAUCAAACUUGAAUCAUUUGAAUGGAGGGAAAACCAAAUUUCUGCUAAGUUUUGUCUGUAUCAACAUCGACAAUCAUGUAAAAUGGAAUUAUACUUGAAUCAUACAAGAAACACAUUUAGUUAACUUAUAUAUUAUAAAUGUUCUACAUUUUUUACUUUGUAAUUUAAUGCUGAUGUAUUAUGGCUUCCACAAAAAUUGAAGCUGUCCCUGUUCAAAACCAAGCAGCCGCACAAAAGCUUCUUAAAAAAAUGAGUCAUCAAAACCGGGAUGACAUGCAUUCAAGAGGCAGACAGUUUGGGGGAAAGAGGAGGAUUACUUGACUUUUGUCAUUUCUUUUAUUCUCAUCAUGCUUUACUCUAUUAGAAGGGCACAACAUGGGCUGGGGUUUGAUCUUAACAGAAACAGCUCUACGAUGUUACAAACAACUUCCGUCUGCAGUUUUGGAGAAUCCAACAAGACUAUUUUUUGAUCGUGCAAACGAGUUCAUCAACUUCAAAGGUAGUAGAAAGGUAAUAGAUCUUCUACUAAAAUGUAGAGUCAAUUUUCUGCUAACAUGUCAGGGCAAGUCCAGAUUAAUGAAAACGUAGUAGAAACUAUAAAUUGACUGGCAUCUUGAGGCUGUCAUUGAUUUUCUGGAAUAUGUGGUGGAAGCAGGGCAAGUAUUUGUGCGCAUUC